rnacentral:SRP_RNA from 1 species
GCUUGGUGUGAUGGUAUUCGCUUGUAGUCUCCAGCUCCUGAGAGGAGGCUGAGGUGGGAAGAUCGCUUGAGCUUGGGAGAUCGAGGUUGGCAGUGAGCCAUGAUCAUGCCACUGCAACUUCAGCGGGUGCGACAGAGCGAGACCCUGUCUCAAAAGUGAAAGCACCUGGGAGUGGGGGACCACCAGGUUGUCUAAGGAGGGGGGAAUCGGCCCAGGCUGGAAACCGAACAGAUGAAAACUCGCAUGUUGAGGAGUAGUGGGAUUGUCCCUUUGAAUAGCCAUUGUACUCCAGCCUGAGCAACAUAGCGAGACUCCAUUUCU